GAUGAAGAACGGAGCGAAAUGCGAUACUUGGUGUGAAUUGCAGAAUCCCGUGAACCAUCGAGUCUUUGAACGCAAGUUGCGCCCGAAGCCAUUAGGCCGAGGGCACGCCUGCCUGGGCGUCACACGUCGUUGCCCCCCCAUCUACUCCUUCGGGAUUGCGGGGGGCGGAUGAUGGCCUCCCGUGCGCCUCGUCGCGCGGUUGGCAUAAAUACCAAGUCCUCGGCGACGCACGCCACGACAAUCGGUGGUUGCGAAACCUCGGUUGCCCGUCGUGUGCGGUCGUCGCGCAUCGAGGGCUCGAAAAAAUUGCCGGGCUCCGGCUCGGCUUUCAACGCGACCCCAGGUCAGGAGGGGUUACCCGCUGAAUUUAAGCAUAUCAAUAAGCGGAGGA
rnacentral:misc_RNA from 1 species